GCACGAGCGAUUCCCUCCGUCCCUCCGUCCACGCCGCUUACGAUCCAGGAAGGCAGUAGGGGCGUGCGAGGGGAAUACGCCCCAGCCGCCAUAGUGGAGCCCUAUACCGCCGCCGAGAUCCGACAAGAGCCGCCGCCGCCGGGGUUCAAGAGGAACCGGCCACCACGACCUCCCUCCCUAGCCGACCGCCACCCACCUCCCCGGGCAGCCAUGUACAGCGGGGCGGCGACCACGUGCCUGGCAUAGGUGGGUCUCGGCCUCCCUCCUCCCUUCGUCCAAGGCUAGGAACUUCCCUCCCCUACCCGAUCUCCUCCCUUCAUCCAAGGCCACGAUCUCCCCUCCCCUACCCGAUCUCCUCCCUUCAUCCAAGGCCACGAUCUCCCCUCCCCUACCCGAUCUGACGGAGAGAGGGCCAGGCCUUGCCACUCCGGUGUUCGAUGUGGCCAGAUCUGGCCGGGGGACUCGCCGCAGAGCCUCCAUGUCGGCGGAACAGCAGCAGCCCGACAGAAGGAUUCAGAUUUAUGGCAGGGACACAAUCAAAUUUAUACCAUACGUUGUGAUGAUACAAGGAAAGUAAACAUAGAUGCAUAUUUUGUUCAACGUGACGAUACAAGGGAGAGUUGGCCUACGUCGCCAACUGAUCUGCGGCAGCGUGGAAGGAGAGUUCAAAAGCACCAGGAGCGGCUGUUCUACUGCUGGUCGGAGGGAGAGCUUGGCAAGGGAGACAGAGGGAGCUCUACAACCACGAUCUUGGCAUACAACCCGAUGGCAUCAUGUCCACAUUAUAUAUUCUUCGGUAAUAUGUAAAGCCUAAGUGAGAGACACAAUGUCUUGAUUGUAGUCUUGCAGACUCCAUAUUUUUCAGCACGUACGUUCGCAAAAAAAAUUGAUCUCAGCAGGUUGGUGUUCAUGUACACGUUGCCAUUUGAGAAUAUACUGUGUAUUACUCAAAUCUCAAAACAAAUGGCCCAUUCUGACCAGACCAUAACUAUUCCGAAAGCAUUGAUAGGCUUUUUUAAACAUCAAGAUAUCUGAAUAUUUAUCUUAGCAGUGUCCAAAAACCAAAUGGUUAUGUUUGUUCAGAUUUUCCUCAUUUUUAUGUUCUUUGAAUUAUAGUGCUUGAGGUUAAUAAUAAAUGAUUGUUGGUAACUUAACUAGCUCUUGAGAAUAAUGUGUGAUAUAGGUUGCUCCUAUAUGUGUCAUUGACUAUGUUGCUUGUGGAGAGUAAUAAGGAUUUAUCUAGCUCAUGUACAUCUGAGCCUGAGACGGAGAGGACGACUGUCGUGGCUCCAUUGAUGAUAGUGGUUGCGACGCAGAGCCGUACGAAUGGACAACAAGCAAGCCAAGCACUCCCUGGGAAUCGCCGUGAUUCUGAAACGGGUGGCGGGUCCCUGCCUCUACCGCCCAUGAAGCUGACAACGAUCACGUGGUCGUCGUGCGACGACUGCGGAGGGGGGAGGGGGGCAGGCAGGGGGAGACUUAUAGGCGAGAACCUGCACGGAGGAGGAAGGAGACGCCUCAGGUGGAGAUGAUGACGACGACCGUGCCCCAUCACUAGCGGCGGUCACGACGUGCAGCUGCAGGACUAGAGAUCAUACAGAGUUGGAAUCUCAGAGCUACACAUUCAACCGGCUUGCUUUGAAAAUCGAGUAAAACUAAAGGAAUAGAGGUUUCAAAUGCAACAAGAGUUUAAUAGUGCUACAGAUAUGUGGAGCGGGCAAGAAUAGUUGGUCAGCCUUUAGUAACUACUAUUGAUGUUACUCCAGAUGCAAGUUUCUUGCAUGAAGCUGACUGUUGUUUAUUAUUUUUCUUCAUGCCAUAUUUCUUUGAGAUCUCCAAAUUAUCCCAGACUUGCUUCAUACUUUGGUGCCAUCUGCAUUACUGCAUAUACUAUUCACUAUUCAGACUGGCUCUGGAGCAAACUGCGUAGCAAGAUCAAUAAUGAAUGGUUCAAGUCAUGUAUUACAAGUUACAAUGAGCAGGAGGUAGUCAAGUCAGUUGAUGAUAAGGAUAUUAUUCGAACAUUUACUGCAAUGACGUCUCGGAAAGGGCAUUUGCCUUGUGAUUGUCUUUAGUGCGCUAUUGGUAUUCGUGCCUUCUAUGAUUUUGGCAACAUGGCGAGCUUGCAGCAGGGGUCAGAGAAGGGCGCGUUGUGACGGACCUCCGCUCCUCUGCGGAUGCCUAAGCAGCGAUGAGACGCUUCACGGAAUCGAGUCUAUGAGUCUCUCUGCAUGCGCUGCGGCGAGAGUAUAAGUGCCUUGAUCUGUGGCACAGCUCCUAACCCCAUUCCCUUUGGUUUCGGCUUGACUCAUUGUGAAUUCUGAUGCGUACUUUCUUUUGGUCAGGGCACCAUGAGGUUGCUGCUGACUACGAUUCCCAACUUCCAGGAGAUAAGGUCGUUGUGAUGGCUUUUGAAUGCCCGCAAUGUAAUGAAAGAUAAUUGACGGGAAGGAGCUCCUGAUGGGAAGGACAUACACUGACAAUCAUCAUGUGAAGAAGGCUGUUACUACAGUUGAAGCGCCAAGCAAGAUUCCGUAAUGGGAAAUCUGCAAGUUCUAAACCAUCUCUGAUUUGAGUAGGUCAAGCAAUUGAAUGAUUGGAAAUAUGUAACUACAUUACCAUCUCGGACUAAUCAACCAUUUGAAAGACAUUAUGUGCUCGGGGAGCAAAAACUUUUGGGCAGACACCUUGGUGGUUUUUUCGUACUAUUAAGGAGGCACCAUUGCAACCUGAACAAGGUUUGUGAGCACCUAGCUUAAUCCUUCUGUAUGGAUCCUACAAGCAGAAGUCAUCCACAUCACGUUUUAAUAUUCUGGAGUAUUAUUUCAUCCCUAGCUCCACUUGCUGCUCAAAACCUGUGCAUACCAUAGUUUGACAACCAGCAGACCCCUAGAAUCUGUUGCACAUGGAGUGAGCUACCAAAUAGACAUGUAACAAAAACAAUAUUUUCUUUCAUCUUGAUAUAAAUAUAAUUGUGCUAUUGGGUCUUUAGUGGAAUAGAUGUGCAAAGCAACAAUUAUAUACCUUGUCAACGGAAGUACCUUGUUCAAUAUAGAAUACUCUAAAUUUUGAACCGUA